ensembl:lncRNA
AUGAAGGAGGGUCAGGAGAGGGGUGUCCUGAAUGAGACGAGCCCCCUCUGCAGAGGGCCCAGCCCCCCAGCGCCGCAACAUGAGGGUCACAGACCCGCAGGCCAGACCAAGAGGGGCCUGUCUUCUGGGGGGAGUGGCUCCUCAGGACGAGCCCCUUUGCCCCGGACUAGGUCUGUCUCCUUGGACCAAUUCCCCGAGGGGCGUCCUUCCAGACUGCCCUCCCAGCCCGGAGGCGCCAGCCCGUCACACAGUGUCAGCACCUGCCGAGCACCCGGGGAUGGCAGCCGUGUGUUUGGGAAGAAGGCCCGAGGCACGACCGUGAUGUCUUGUUUCCUUGAACAUUUUCUCCAGGUUCACCAGGCUCCUCCUUCCAUCCUGCCGGGGUGCUGCUUCCUGCCGCUCUUUUUACCUGACCAGAGUGACGUCCCUCAGAGAAAGUCUGAUGAGCGCAAGCAGUAGAGAAAAGGCUCUGGGGGGGGGACCCCUGCCUGCCACAGACAGACGCCGCAUUUCCCCACCCGCGGGCACACCUGAGCCUUCUGUUUUUCUUCACCUUUGUUGAUUGGAAUGACAAAAAAAUGAUACCUCAUGGCUUAUUUCUUUGUGAAAGUAAUAAACAGGUCUUCCCACCAUCCGUAGAGCCCCCCUAUGAAGCCUUGAGUAAGCCAAGAUGAUCAAAGCAAAGAGGCACAUGGGAAAAAAUGCUAGCACAUCCAGACCCAAAAAAUUACCCUUCUUAGGCUUUUCUGAUACCUUAGGGUUCAUCUUGCUAAUGGAUGCACAAUAUAAAUCAAGAGAGGCUCACAGACACAGCUCAGGGCUCUGGGGCGGGCGGUGGGGCUGCUGGGGGCGGUUCCCAGGAAGGGACCCUGCGGGCCGCGUCAGCUGAACGCUGUUUUCUCUUUUCGCCUUUUUUCGUAAAGGCAAACGGCCUCUUCAGACUUCUCUGUUAGCAAAAGCAGGUACUCGCGUGGGUCCUUCGUAAACGUGAGGCGGUAUAGCUCGAACCCGCAGGAAGCCAGGGUGGAGGGAGUCCCGCUCAGAGUUAGGGAAGCCGGAUGGGGGUGUAAGGCCGCCCCCCGCGCGCCUCUUUCCGCAGAGCAUGCACACGCCCCGUGCCCCAGACCCGCCGCGGAAGUCCUCUGUCCCCUGGACGGCGGAGGAUGGGCCUCGCUCUCUUGCACACGCUCUGCUCCCUCCGGAGCUGCCCGCCGCCCUGUUCUGCACAGCUUUCUCUGGUCGUGCCCGAAUGCCGCCAAGCCCUCCUUGCCAUUGUCACCACUAGCCCGCAUUGACGUCACGUGUAUAAGGAGCCCUCUGUCUUCGCAGCAGCUCCGUCAGGCCCGCUUUACAGGUGAAGAAAGCGAGGCACGGAGAGAUCAGGGGAGCUACCCAGGAGUCCCCCGUGGGUAUGACUGGAAGUUUUCGGACCAUGUUCAUCCAGGUGCCCUGGGUGGACGCCCCCCGCCCCCCGAGAGGCAGAGCUCCUGUCAGUCCAGCGCCACGUGCCCCACAGAUGCCGGCUUAGCUCGAGGUCCUUCCCACUCCCGUGGUUGUGUUUUUCCCGGACAGUUUCCUUGCCGUGAAUUUCCAGCCCUCCUACUGC